rnacentral:piRNA from 1 species
CUUUAUUGAUUAUUCUACUAAACUCC